rnacentral:lncRNA from 10 species
CCCUCCACAGCAUGCAUACGUUAGGUAGUCCGGAGACAGUAAUGAAGCUUUGAUUAUAAAAUUAAGAUGUAACUUUCUAUGGUAUUCACAGAUGUUAUCUUUAAUUCCAUAGAGGAAAGGUUAAGGAGGUUUUGUAACCUUUUGUUGGUAUAAAGAGUCCUGUAUGUUACAUGUUUUUGAUGGCAGGGUGGGGUCAGGCUGCCUAGAUUUUUCUUUACUGUCUCUGGGCUGUCCUUUAUACUACAAAAAUUUAUUAAACCAAUUAUAUCAUUAUUCAAGGUAGCCAAGAUUACACUUGGUAAAUUCUUGGAAAGUGUAUGCUGACAGCUAUAUACAUAGGAUUAGUCAUCCUUAGAAAUCUCACAAAAGGCCAGGCAUGGUGGCUCAUGCCUGUAAUCCCAGCACUUAGGAAAGCCACGGAAGCCACGGUGGGUGGAUCACAUGGGGUCAGGAGUUUAAGACCAGCCUGGCCAACAUGGCAAAAACCCGUCUCUACUAAAAAUACAAAAAUUAUCCGAGUGUGGUGGUGGGCACCUGUAAUCCCAGCUACUCUGGAGGCUGAGGCAGGAGAAUUGCUUGAACCUGGGAGGCAGAGAUUGCAGUGAGCCAAGAUCAUGCCACUGCAAUCCAGCCUGGGCAACAGAGUGAGACUCCGUCUCAAAAAAAGGAAUGAAAUGGGCCAGGUGUGAUGGCUCAUACAGGUAAUCCUAGCAUUUAGAAGGCCAAGGCAAGAGGAUCACUUAACUUCAGGAAUUUAAGACCAGCCUGGGCAACAUAGGGAGACCCCAUCUCUACUAAAAAUUUAAAAACUUAGCCCAGUGUGGGAGAGUGUGCCUGCAAUCCCAGCUGCUAGGGAGCUGAGAUGGGAGGAUCGCCUGUAUCUGGAAUGUCAAGGCUGCAGUGAGCCGCAAUUGUGCUACUUGCACUUCAGCCUGGGUGACACAGAUCCUGUAAAAGAAAUUUACCCAGGCUUAUAAAAUAAUAAUUACAAAAUGGUUGCUUUUCGUUGGAGAUGGAGAGAGGAAGUAGAGAAGUUGUCAUUUACUGUGCCCUCAUAUUUAUGGUCUUAAAUGACUGGGCUUUAGGAUAUAUUAAUAUAUAACUUAUGAUAAAGAAAAU